rnacentral:snRNA from 1 species
AUACUUACCUGGCAGGAGAGAUACCAUGAUCACGAAAGUGGUUUUCCCAGGGCGAGGCUCACCCAUUGCACUCCGGGUGUGCUGACCCCUGCUAUUUCCCCAAAUGUGGGAAACUCGACUGCAUAAUUUGUGGUAGUGGGGGACUGCGUUCGCGCUAGCCCCUG